rnacentral:rRNA from 1 species
AAAUAGAGUGUUUGGUAAAUUUAGAUGUUAAUGAAAAUAUUCUUUAAAUUUUUUUUGUAGAUUAAUUAUUAUCGAAAUAUAUAAAAUGUUUUAACUGUAGAGGAUAAUUAAAUUAUGUUUUAGUAAAAAUUAAUCGUUGUACCUUUUGUAUCAGGGUUUAUUAAAUUAAUUAAUAAAUUUUAAAUUCCCGAAAGGAGAUGAGCUACAUAAGUAUCUUUUUUUUGUUGCAUAAAUUAAAAUAAUAUUUAUAUAGAAAUGAGAUGUUAUCGGAUUUCUUGAUAUCUGGUUCCAAAUAAACUUUUAGGGGGGAAAUAAAUUUUAUAAAAUUUAUUUUAUUUUAGUUGGGGUAAGCUCAGUUAAAUUUUUAUAUAUAUUUAAUAGUGUAAUUAAAGGAGGUUUGAUAGUGACUUUUUGUUUAGUAACAGAGUUAAAAGUGGGGUAUAUUAAUUUAAUAUUUGGUGUAAUUAGAAAUUUUUUUGUUUAUAGACAAUGAUAUAAUUAGUAGAAUUGUUUAAUUUUUGUUAAUAAAGUAUUUGGAUAAAGUGAUUUAAAGAGAAAAAUUUAAAAGGAACUCGGCAAAAGAUUUUUUGAACUGUUUAUCAAAAACAUUUUUCUAAGAAGAGAUUUUAGAGUAUCCCCUGCCCUAUGUUCUAUUGGAAUAAAAGGCCGCAGUAGCCUGACUGUGCUAAGGUAGCAUAAUCAUUUGGGUUUUAAUUGGGCUCUGGUAUGAAGGGGGGAAUCAAAAAAANNUGUCUUUAGAUUAAUUUUGAAUUUAAAUUUUUAGUAAAAAUGCUAGAAUUGAAUAGUGGGACGAUAAGACCCUAUAAAGCUUUAUUAUGUAGGUAUUUAUUUAAUAUGCUUUUUUAAAUAUUAAAAUAAUUUAACUGGGGCGGUUAUCAAAUUAUCUUGAUUGAUCAAUUUUUAUAUAAUGAUCCAUUAUUAAUGAGAAUAAGAUUAAGUUACUUUAGGGAUAACAGGAUAAAGUAUUUUUGGAGCUCUAAUCGAAGAAUACAUAUGUUACCUCGAUGUUGAAUUAAUAUAUUUGUAAGGUGGAGAAACUUUAUUAAUUAGUCUGUUCGACUAUUGAAUAAUUACAUGAUUUGAGUUCAAACCGGUUUAAGCCAGGUUGG